rnacentral:lncRNA from 1 species
GUUGAGGCUUGAUCUUGAAUUGGGCUUGAGAUUUCUUCAAGGGCCGUUGAGGCUUGUUCUUGAAUUUUUGUUUGAAAUUUCUUCAAGUGCCGUUGAGGCUUGUUCUUGAACUUUUGUUUGAAAUUUCUUCAAGGGCCGUCGAGGCUUGAUCUUGAAGGUUGAAAUUGGACCACAAGGAGCUUCAUGUGGUAGAUGAUCCUUGGCUUUGGUAGUGGAUGAAUCGGCAUGUAUUUUGUUGCACUUGUUGACUUUCCACAGCUUUGAUCUUGAACUGGGUUGGAGGAUUUUCUGGUUUCCUCCAAUUGUUGACUUUCCACAGCUUAUUCUUGAACUGGUUUUUUGAUUCAAGGGUGGUAGACACUUGAUCUUGAAUCGGACUUGUGAUUUCCUCAAGGGCCGUCGAGGCUUGAUCUUGAACUUUGGUUGGAAGCUUCUUCAAGGGCCUUUGAGGCUUGAUCUCGAAGGUUGAUUCGAACACAUGGCAAACAGGCACGAGGUAAAGGUGACAGCCUGUUGCUUUGUUCAAUCUUUCUAUUUCACACCUGAGCAAUUUGGUCAACGGUAUGAUCUUCAAGAUUGAUGGGCUAUUCUUCCAGUUGGUGACUUGGUCUUUAAGGAUUUGAUUCAAGGGUGGUGAAUCGGCAUGUGCAGCCCACAACGCCUAGUAAGUCGACCCAAGAAUUUGAGGGUCAAAACGAGUUCACCGUCCAGAGUGAUUGCAACCCUGAUGAUAUGAGAUACUUUUGAUUUUGAAGAAGUAGCGGAUGAAUCAGCACGUGCUUGGUUGCACUUGUCUCCACAUGCUUCAAGGUAUCAUUUUCAUUUCCUUUAUCUGUUUCUCAGGCAGAUGUGGCAUCUUCUCGAGUUCCUCAUCUCAGACUCCUUCUGCUGAGUUGAUUGUGCAUGCCGCAUUUCCUUAUUUGUUCUCCAGGCAGAUGUGGCAUCUUCUCGAGUUCCUCAGCUCGGACUCCUUCUGCUGAGUUGACUGUGCGGGUCGCAUUCUUCUCUGCUUGUUCCUUCUGCACGUUGUCUCCACAUGCUGCAAGGUAUCAUUUUCACUUGCCUUAUCUGUUCUUCAGGCAGAUGUGGCAGCUUCUUUGGAAGUAUAGCAGCAGUGGGAGACGAGUACUCGAGAGCAGUGCUAGGUAGGCAAUCAGGGAAGGGUUCCAAGCAGUCGGUUCCUUACCCGAGUUUUGAGUGGAGGUUCCGGCAUAUUGUUUUCUUUAUCCUUGUCUUUGUAAGUAAGAACAAGGACAAAGGAAAGGACAGGGAGAACGCAUGAUAUGAGAUACUCUUGCUUUCUACCCUGGUGAUAUGAGAUACUUUUGCUUUGGAGUCCUUGGCUUGCAGAGGUACCCAAAGGAAUAAGGAACACUGGGUGACUUGAGAAGCUUCGUUGGGAAGACAUUCUCGGAGAUGAAGAAAGGUUCUGUACGUUUGCCUUGCUAUGAAGGGUGAAGGUGGACAUUUAUAUGGAUUAAUAACCGGUACUGUUUUUUCACUCUUGUCGGCAACCGUUGGAUGAUUAAACAGUAAACUUCACGUGAUUUCUCCUUCACCGAAAAUCUUCGACAAAUUGCCCGUGAUUUGGGCAAAGUUGAGUGUGCAUAUGACAGGUGUUGACGUGGCUGAAAAAGACUGGCGCCUCUUCGAUAUCUGGGAUCGGCGCUUCGACAAAUUACCCGUGAUUUCCACAAAGCUGAGUUUGCGUGUGAUGCGUGCUGACGCGUCUGGAAAAGCAAGAUGCUUCUUCGAUUUCUGAGCUUGCCUCUUCGAUUUUUGAAUGGCCUCUUCGAAUUCUGAGCUUGCUUCUUUGAUCUCUGAAAUCCCGUCGAGUGCUGAUUUUUUAUAGACCCAUG